GGUGGUAAAAGAAUUGGCUAUGUUGGUGUUAUAAUCAUGGUGACCAAUUUUUUUUCUAUAAAAUGAAUUUAAAAUUUCAUACCAAUCCAAAAGUGAAUUAAACUAUUGGUGGAGUUGCACAUUCACAUUUUACUAUUGAGGUAAAUGAUUGUGUACUCUUACUGAGGUAUGAUUUAUACUGUCUCUCUCUCUCUCAGUUGGUCAGUCAUAAAUCUCAUCCAUAUUCAGGACAGGAGUGUGUGUGUACGCGAGGAUGAGUUUGUGUCAGUCCUGGUGCUCCUGUAUGGAUGUGUAAGUGUGAUGGCGGACCUGAAUACAGUUGUAUAG
rnacentral:lncRNA from 1 species